rnacentral:lncRNA from 1 species
GGUCAGCUGGCACCCUCCCAUGCUGUAUUGUCCCUGAGGAGUAGCCACCAUCACAAUGGCCUGGCACAGAGCUAACACCCAUCACAGAUGCAAGCUGCCAGUUCCUGGGCCACUGGGCCAGCACAUUAGCAUGGAUGGUUCAGAUGCGGAAACUGUAGCUAACUGAGAAACAACGGUCAUCAGAGGCCACAAAACAAGGGCUGCGCUACGGAGAACUAUUUUGAAGGCUGAUCAAAAUAUGUCAUUAGGGGUGGGUCUUCAGCUGUGGUCUCUGCUUCCUGCCUGUUGCCAUGUGAACAAGCCAUCACGGAGGAUGAACAGUCCCCGGAAGCAAAGGAAGAUUCUAGAAAGCACUCCAUUCCUUAAAGACUUCUGGGGAUUAGCAU